AACGAACAGAAAGGAAGGUGAUCCAAUGUCUAAUGAGAUUUCGGACCUCGUAAAGGGCAUGGGAGAGGUGAAGGAGUCGAGGCAGCCCUUGGCUUGAUAGCCGCCUUCCUGGGCCGUAGCGCCCGGCCAUUUUGAGGCCAAAGCUCAUGGAAGGGCCGCCGAAAGGCGGCCCU
rnacentral:sRNA from 1 species